CUCUGGCUGUAAAGACCUAGACCUACUGGAUUGAUGUCAAAGAGCAAGGGUCAGAUGGCAAGUUCAAAACACCCUUUAACCUUGGGAAGCUCUCCUAACAGAGGCUUACAGAGCCUGGCAUAUCUAUUUGCUGGUUCUGAAGGGUCACUAGACCCAAAUCAUUAACUCUGCUUUCUCUCCUGAAAGCAGUUUUAUUUUCUAAUCAACCACUCCAGAGAUGUUAUUACUUACCUCUGGAGCAGGAGAGAUGUGAACCCAGACCUCCUGGCUCAGGGGUAAAGACACCAUCACCUGCAUCACAACAGUCCUGUCUGAAUAACAAAUUCACAUCCCAAACUGGGAAUUGAACCCAGGCUACAGCAGUGAAGAUACUGAAUCUUAAGCAUUGAACCCAUGGCCUUGGCAUAAUUUGCAGCAUGACUGAACUCUCUGGGCUAGUGACCAUAGUAUAUCUCCAGUGGAAGAAGCCAGUGCUUCACCAGGUUGCAAGAAUUUCGUCCAAAGCUUGCCACAGGCUACAUACAUCAGAAAAUGGAGAAGUCAAAUGAAAUUGCUCUUUGCCCACAAUACCUUUGAAGAUGGGUUGGAGGUCACAUAUGAAGCAUCAUGGAACACACCCUAUCCUCAAACUAGGAAAAUCGGAUAACAAGAGACUGGAUGUUCAUGCUUGGAAAGAGAGAGGGUAUCAUUGGAGAGGGAGCACACUGUGUCCAUCAAUGCUCUCGAUGCCUUUAGAGAGAGGUGGUCACCAUGGGGGACACAGUGCUUUAUUUCCCCGUCUAACUCCAUUUUGAUUGAAUUCCUUCCUGCUCUCUCUACCCCCACCUCACCUUUGGUGGCUUGCAUUGCCCUUAAUGGGCUUUGCUUGUAAACAUUCAACUGGCCAUCUUGGUGUUUUACUGGUGGUGGUUACUAGUUUGGGAAAAAAAAAUCGCAGUGAUUUUGGUGGUAGGAAGGUCACUCCGCUGUGCGUAAUAAUAAAAAACGAAUGGACAACACAGAGGACUGAAGUCCAAGUUUAGAUUCGAUGGUGUUUUUUCAGCCUUUGAGUGUAAUUCUCAUUUCCUAGAAUUGGCUGUUUUAGCCAUUAUGAAGAU